AGCAGACCUUCCGACUUGCUUUCUCUCCUCCAUGCCUUGAGUGUAGGACCGUUGGCAUCUUAAUUACCCUCCCACACCCAAGGCUUGCAGAAGAGCAAGCCUUCUCUUCCCUCUCCAGU
rnacentral:pre_miRNA from 8 species